CCAAUAGCGUAUAUUAAAGUUGUUGCAGUUAAAAAGCUCGUAGUUGAAUUUCGGGAUUGACGUGAUGGUCAUGCCUUAAGGGGUAUGAACUGUUGCAGUUGAUUUCUCACCUUCUGGAGAAACUUGAUGUCCUUUAUUGGGUGUCUUGCGGAUCCAGGACCUUUACCUUGAAAAAAUUAGAGUGUUUAAAGCAGGCAUUUUUGCUCGAAUACAUUAGCAUGGAAUAAUAGAAUAGGACGGCAUGGUUCUAUUUUGUUGGUUUCUAGGAUCACCGUAAUGAUUAAUAGGGAUAGUUGGGGGCCUUAGUAUUCAAUUGUCAGAGGUGAAAUUCUUGGAUUUAUUGAAGACUAACUACUGCGAAAGCAUUUGCCAAGGAUGUUUUCAUUAAUCAAGAACGAAAGUUAGGGGAUCGAAGACGAUCAGAUACCGUCGUAGUCUUAACCAUAAACUAUGCCGACUAGGAAUCAGACGAUGUUAAUUUUUUAAUGACUCGUUUGGCACCUUACG
rnacentral:rRNA from 1 species